rnacentral:rRNA from 1 species
CUACGGGCGGCUCCAGUGGGGAAUAUUGGACAAUGGGGGAAACCCUGAUCCAGCAAUGCCGCGUGUGUGAAGAAGGCCUGCGGGUUGUAAAGCACUUUCGGUUGGGAGGACUGCUUCUAGCACUAAUAUUGUUGGAAGUUGACGUUACCUUCAGAAGAAGCACCGGCUAACUCCGUGCCAGCAGCCGCGGUAAUACGGAGGGUGCAAGCGUGAAUCGGAAUUACUGGGCGUAAAGCGCGCGUAGGCGGCUAGAUCAGUCGGGUGUGAAAGCCCCGGGCUUAACCUGGGAACUGCAUCCGAUACUGUCUAGCUUGAGUACAGGAGAGGAGAGUGGAAUUCCACAUGUAGCGGUGAAAUGCGUAGAUAUGUAGAGGAACACCAAUGGCGAAGGCAGCUCUCUGGCCUGAUACUGACGCUGAGGUGCGAAAGCGUGGGGAGCAAACAGGAUUAGAUACCCCCGUAGUC